UGGGGGAGGGGAUUUUGGGGGGUUUGGGGGUGGGGGAGGGGAUUUGGGGAGGGGGAGGGGCUCUUUAAGGGAGUUUUUGGGGGUCCCGAGGGGUUUUUUUGGGGGGGGGUCGCAGGUGCUGCUGGGGGGGGCUCGUCGCUCUCGGCCAAUCAGCUGCGGGGAAAUGGGGGAGGGGAAAUUUGGGGAGGGGGCCGCGAUCGCCCCUCCCCCACUCAAAGCACCGGGGGAACCCCAAAAUCCCCCCAGGAUCCCCCAAACCCCCCCAGGACCCCCCAAAACCCACCCAGGACCCCCCAAAAUCCCCCCCAGGACCCCCUAAAAUCCCUUUAAAACCCCCUAAAACGCCCCCAGACCCCCCAAGUCCCCCCAAAAUCCCCUCAAGACCCCCCCCAGGACCCCCCAAAAUCCCCCCAAACCCCCCCAGACCCCCCCAAAAACCCUCCGGACCCCCCAAAUCCCCCCAGGACCCCCCAAAACCCCCCCAGGACCCCCAAAAUCCCCCCAGGACCCCCAAAAAUCCCCUCAAGACCCCCCCAGACCCCCCCAAAAACCCUCCGGACCCCCUAAAAUCCCCCCAGGACCCCCCAAAAUCCCCCCGACCCCCCUUUACCUCCUCACUCGCCGAUUCUGCGCAUCCCGGCCCAAAAUUUUCGGGGUUCCGACCCCAAAUUUGGGGGUUUCCGGCCUCGAUUUUGGGGAUCCUCAAAUUUGGGGGAUCGCGGCAGCUUCCGGGGGGGUCCCGCUGUCGAUUUUUGGGGUUUUCAGCCCAAAUUUCGCAGUCCCGGCUCCGAUUUUGGGGGUCCCCCAAAUUUUUUUGGGGGUUUUGGGGAUUUUUUGGGGCGGAUUUUGGGGGGUCUCGAGGCCGCCGCUGCCGGGGGGGGUCCUGGAGUGGAUUUUUGGGGGGAUUUUUGGGGGAUUUUUGGGGGUUCCCGGGGGGGUUUUAGGGGUAAAUUUCGGGAAUUUUGGGGUUUCCCGGGGGAUUUUUGGGGUUCCCGGGGGGGUUUUGGGGGUAAAUUUCGGGAAUUUUGGGGUUCCCGGGGGGGUUUUAGGGGUAAAUUUUGGGGGUUUUGGGGAUUUUUGGGGAUUUUUGGGGAUUUUUGGGGGGUCCCGGGGGGUCCCCGCCGCCGGUGCCGGUCCCGAGUUCGCUGCGACGUUUGGGGGGGGGGAGGGGAAAAUUUGGGGGGGGGAGGGGGAGGGGGGAGGGGGCGGGGCCUGGAAGGUUCUGCGGUGACGUCAGAGGGGGGCGGGGCUCGGCAAUGGGGGUUUGGGGGU
rnacentral:lncRNA from 1 species